GUAUAAAGUGGCGAACGGCUGAGUAACACGUGGGCAACCUGCCCUUUGCACUGGGAUAGCCUCGGGAAACCGAGGUUAAUACCGGAUACUCCAUAUUUGUCGCAUGGCGAAUAUGGGAAAGCUCCGGCGGCAAAGGAUGGCCCGCGGCCUGUUAGCUAGUUGGUGGGGUAGUGGCCUACCAAGGCAAUGAUGGGUAGCCGGGUUGAGAGACCGACCGGCCAGAUUGGGACUGAGACACGGCCCAGACUCCUACGGGAGGCAGCAGUA
rnacentral:rRNA from 1 species